rnacentral:rRNA from 1 species
GAUGAACGCUGGCGGCGUGCCUAAUACAUGCAAGUCGAGCGAACGGACGAGAAGCUUGCUUCUCUGAUGUUAGCGGCGGACGGGUGAGUAACACGUGGAUAACCUACCUAUAAGACUGGGAUAACUUCGGGAAACCGGAUCUAAUACCGGAUGAUAUUUUGAACCGCAUGGUUCAAAAGUGAAAGACGGUUUUGCUGUCACUUAUAGAUGGAUCCGCGCUGCAUUAGCUAGUUGGUAAGGUAACGGCUUACCAAGGCAACGAUGCAUAGCCGACCUGAGAGGGUGAUCGGCCACACUGGAACUGAGACACGGUCCAGACUCCUACGGGAGGCAGCAGUAGGGAAUCUUCCGCAAUGGGCGAAAGCCUGACGGAGCAACGCCGCGUGAGUGAUGAAGGUCUUCGGAUCGUAAAACUCUGUUAUUAGGGAAGAACAGAUGUGUAAGUAACUGUGCACAUCUUGACGGUACCUAAUCAGAAAGCCACGGCUAACUACGUG